AUUGAACGCUGGCGGCAGGCCUAACACAUGCAAGUCGAACGGUAACAGGAAGCAGCUUGCUGCUUUGCUGACGAGUGGCGGACGGGUGAGUAAUGUCUGUGAAACUGCCCGAUGGAGGGGGAUAACUACUGGAAACGGUAGCUAAUACCGCAUAACGUCGCAAGACCAAAGAGGUGGACCUUAGGGCCUCUUGCCAUCGGAUGUGCCCAGAUGGGAUUAGCUAGUAGGUGGGGUAACGGCUUACCUAGGCGACGAUCCGUAACUGGUCUGAGAGGAUGACCAGUCAGACUGGAACUGAGACACGGUCCAGACUCCUACGGGAGGCAGCAGUGGGGAAUAUUGGACGAUGGGCGAAAGCCUGAUCCAGCCAUGCCGCGUGGGUGAAGAAGGUCUUCGGAUUGUAAAGCACUUUAAGUUGGGAGGAAGGGCAGUAAGUUAAUACCUUGCUGUUUUGACGUUACCAAAAGAAUAAGCAACGGCUAACUUCGUG
rnacentral:rRNA from 1 species